GAAGCCUCCAGAAAGAAAGCCAAUUCAAGAUGAACAAAACUGUGCCACUGAGUAAGAUGAAAAACAGGGUGCAAGAGGAAAGCACCUCAAAAAGAGGAGAGAAGUAAUUGAGACUCCUGCAAAUAACAUGCUUAGAGAAGCAGAAUUGCAGGAAAUAAGUAUUUACCAGGCUACCAGGCAAAUAAAUGUUUUCGGAGGAUCUGCAGAAUAAAUAUGUGUCCCUCACCUAAAAAAGAGGGUAAUGGCAGGACAGCCCACCAGGAUGUCAGUCUGAAGGAGAAUGUUUACAGCUCCUGUACCCCAGCAACUGUUUCUUGAGGCAGGCUUUCCAAAGCCAUUGAGCAGCUGCCGUUCUGAGCCACGUCAACUGGUCCUACAGAAACCCAUGACAGCUCCAAUGAUGUAUGGGCCUGGAAUGGAAAAACCAAGCCUUUCAUGUUCAAAGCAUAUCUGACAGGUCUAGUGGAGGCUCUCAGCCUACUGGUGCUGUGCCUUGAGUUUUAUUAUUGUUGUUAUUAUCUUCCUGCUCAUAGAUAAUGUAAUAAUUUACAGUCAGGCAUUGUAUGACCUGAAUGAUUGAUGUCACUUGGGCAUGAAUAACCAUUUCUGUAGGUUUAAUAAUGAACUCCUAACAAGACACAGCAUGGGGGAAAACUCACUCAUAAAAGCGGCCUCUCUUUUGAUAUCCUGCUCAAGACAGAAAGCUGAAGUUUCUAGAACCUGUGGCUCAUGCGUUCCUGAGAUGCUAAAACAAUCACUUGAUGUACAGGGGAAAUAUGGACUAGUGCACAGACUCACUAGUGAAAACUAAUGUCACGCUCCCUUAUUUCAAACCUAGGAACUAGAGUCAUAGUACAUGGGGACAUGAGCAUGCCCCCAUCUUUAUUUUUAGCAGCAGCAUGUUGACUUGUUUUUGUAAAUAAGAGUGUUUUCACUGUUUUAUAUUUAUACUAAGGGUGGAAGGACAUUCUAAUAUUCUGGACAGUAAGAGGACAUUACAGAGAUUCCCUCAAAGUGAGCUGUGAUCCACUAGUAGGUUAUUGCCUUACAAAGAUCCUGUGGACUCUACAUAAUAUACACUGCACUCACUUUUAAUAUUGUUGUUGUACCACUCCUCAGAAAAACCCAAAGAGAAUAACUGUUCAGGUCAGUGUGAGUCUUAAGGCUUGGACACUGUGUGCUGUUAAAAUGUCUCAUUUGUCUGAGAUAGUUUAUUUCAGUAAAUAACAGCAUUUCUGUACUGUUGAUGCUUUUCACAUCUGUCUUUUCUAAUUGCCAGCAGAUUUUAGUUUUGAGGUGGGGUAUUUUUUAAGUACAUGAACAAAGGCUGCAUUGUUGUUGAUGUUUUCUUAUGACACUGUAAAUUAUAAGGGCAGUUCUUGAAACUUUUGCAAAUUCUACAAGAACCCCAGAGUAAAAUGAUAUUUUAUAAUUAGUGAUGGGUGAAUUUCAUAAGGAUCAGGAGUUUGCAUGAAGCACUGCUGAAGCACUGAAAAGUUGAUGCUUCUCCAAAGCUUACCUGAACUAUCAGAACCCAUUAGGUUUAUAAAAUGGGUUGGAAAUCUCACACAAGGAUUUCUGAAGAGGUUUGGUUACUUCCAGCAUCCAAUUAAGCUGUAAAUACUAUUCUUCAGAGGGUGCAAAUCAACAUAACAAAGUCAAUGGAGCUACACCAAUUUAGAUCAGCCAAGGAUCUGGCCUAGAACAGAAUUUCUUAUUCUGUUCUACCACAAGCUACUUAAGAUGGAAUCGAUAAAUGCAACAGUAGACAGUGAAGAAAAAAACAAAAGCUCUGUCUGGAUGGAUGCAAAGUUAUUUUAUUGUCUUUCUACUUAUAGUCAGCAAGAUUGUGCUUUCCCCUAUACCUCCUAAAUCCCCCGAGCAUGCUACAUGCCAAACAGAUCCCAGUGCCGGAGAGCAGUCAACACAGGUGACCAGGCACUGGACACAGACCCCACUCCAACAUGCCAAUCCCAUGGCUCAGUAAGCAUGGAGGGAGAUGUCAUGUAUUGGUAUAGACCAGUAAAAGAUUAACAAAAAGACUGCCAAAUAAGUCUCAGAGUUACCCCUCCCAGAGUCUGCCCCUAACUCAAGGCAGUCUAAAUUUAGAACCUAGCCCAAUUUUAGCAGUUUAGACAAGUUAUACUAUAUAAUGCUUGAGUACCAAACAAUGACAGCCAGUGAAAACAUGCACAUUUUACAUCCAACAGUGUAUAACUGUCUUUCUUCCUGCACUGACUUAAUUUUUUUAUUCAUCUGAUAAAAGGUAAUUUGAAAAUGUUUUCUAGAAUAUAGAACAUCAAAUGAU